rnacentral:rRNA from 1 species
GAUGAACGCUGGCGGCGUGCCUAAUACAUGCAAGUCGAGCGAACAGACGAGGAGCUUGCUCCUCUGACGUUAGCGGCGGACGGGUGAGUAACACGUGGAUAACCUACCUAUAAGACUGGGAUAACUUCGGGAGACCGGAGCUAAUACCGGAUAAUAUCUUGAACCGCAUGGUUCAAUAGUGAAAGACGGUUUUGCUGUCACUUAUAGAUGGAUCCGCGCCGCAUUAGCUAGUUGGUAAGGUAACGGCUUACCAAGGCAACGAUGCGUAGCCGACCUGAGAGGGGGAUCGGCCACACUGGAACUGAGACACGGUCCAGACUCCUACGGGAGGCAGCAGUAGGGAAUCUGCCGCAAUGGGCGAAAGCCUGACGGAGCAACGCCGCGUGAGUGAUGAAGGUCUUCGGAUCGUAAAACUCUGUUAUUAGGGAAGAACAAAUGUGUAAGUAACUAUGCACGUCUUGACGGUACCUAAUCAGAAAGCCACGGCUAACUACGUG